GAUGAACGCUGGCGGCGUGCCUAAUACAUGCAAGUCGAGCGAACAGACGAGGAGCUUGCUCCUCUGACGUUAGCGGCGGACGGGUGAGUAACACGUGGAUAACCUACCUAUAAGACUGGGAUAACUUCGGGAAACCGGAGCUAAUACCGGAUAAUAUAUUGAACCGCAUGGUUCAAUAGUGAAAGACGGUUUUGCUGUCACUUAUAGAUGGAUCCGCGCCGCAUUAGCUAGUUGGUAAGGUAACGGCUUACCAAGGCAACGAUGCGUAGCCGACCUGGGAGGGUGGUCGGCCGCACUGGAACUGAGACACGGUCCAGACUCCUACGGGAGGCAGCAGUAGGGAAUCUUCCGCAAUGGGCGAAAGCUUGACGGAGCAACGCCGCGUGAGUGAUGAAGGUCUUCGGAUCGUAAAACUCUGUUAUUAGGGAAGAACAAAUGUGUAAGUAACUAUGCACGUCUUGACGGUACCUAAUCAGAAAGCCACGGCUAACUACGUG
rnacentral:rRNA from 1 species